GUGGUAAUGCCGGAUGUUCCACAUGAUCGCAUGUGAUUGUGGGAAAGAUUCUAUCGGCGUGGGAUGGGGUCGCGUCCUAUCAGCUUGUUGGUGAGGUAACGGCUCACCAAGGCUUCGACGGGUAGCCGGCCUGAGAGGGCGACCGGCCACAUUGGGACUGAGAUACGGCCCAGACUCCUACGGGAGGCAGCAGUGGGGAAUAUUGCACAAUGGGCGCAAGCCUGAUGCAGCGACGCCGCGUGAGGGAUGGAGGCCUUCGGGUUGUAAACCUCUUUUGUUUGGGAGCAAGCCUUCGGGUGAGUGUACCUUUCGAAUAAGCGCCGGCUAACUACGUGCCAGCAGCCGCGGUAAUACGUAGGGCGCAAGCGUUAUCCGGAUUUAUUGGGCGUAAAGGGCUCGUAGGCGGCUCGUCGCGUCCGGUGUGAAAGUCCAUCGCUUAACGGUGGAUCUGCGCCGGGUACGGGCGGGCUGGAGUGCGGUAGGGGAGACUGGAAUUCCCGGUGUAACGGUGGAAUGUGUAGAUAU
rnacentral:rRNA from 1 species